rnacentral:rRNA from 1 species
GACAGAGGGUGCAAACGUUGCUCGGAAUCACUGGGCGUAAAGGGCGUGUAGGCGGGACAGUAAGUCGGGCGUGAAAUCCCUGGGCUCAACCCAGGAACUGCACUCGAAACUACUAUUCUUGAGUGUCGGAGAGGAAAGCGGAAUUCCUGGUGUAGAGGUGAAAUUCGUAGAUAUCAGGAGGAACACCAGUGGCGAAGGCGGCUUUCUGGAC